rnacentral:rRNA from 1 species
AUUGAACGCUGGCGGCAUGCCUUACACAUGCAAGUCGAACGGUAACAGGUCUUCGGAUGCUGACGAGUGGCGAACGGGUGAGUAAUGCAUCGGAACGUGCCCAGUAGUGGGGGAUAGCCCGGCGAAAGCCGGAUUAAUACCGCAUACGACCUGAGGGUGAAAGGGGGGGAUCGCAAGACCUCUCGCUAUUGGAGCGGCCGAUGUCAGAUUAGCUAGUUGGUGGGGUAAAGGCCUACCAAGGCAACGAUCUGUAGUUGGUCUGAGAGGACGACCAGCCACACUGGGACUGAGACACGGCCCAGACUCCUACGGGAGGCAGCAGUGGGGAAUUUUGGACAAUGGGCGCAAGCCUGAUCCAACAAUGCCGCGUGCAGGAAGAAGGCCUUCGGGUUGUAAACUGCUUUUGUCAGGGAAGAAAUCUUCUGGGUUAAUACCUCGGGAGGAUGACGGUACCUGAAGAAUAAGCACCGGCUAACUACGUGCCAGCCGCCGCCGUAACAC